rnacentral:tRNA from 1 species
GGCCGGGUAGCUCAAUGGUAGAGCGUCUGACUCCGAGUCAGAAGGUGUAGGUUCGAGUCCUGCCCUGGCUA